CUGCCUUUGGCCCACCUGCCAUCUGCAAGUCAUUUCCUGCCCGCAGCCGGAGGCUCACCUCUCGUUAACAAGAAGCCGAGGGGGCAGCCAGGCUGCAGGGCAGAUCCUGGGGGGGACCGGCAGAGCUGGGCACAGCGGAGGGGCUCGGCCAGAGGCUGGCGCUUUGUCUCCAUCGGACUUUAAUGCCACCUCACCUUGGGCAGAGGGAAUGUGGUUAAGUCAACACUGUGGACGGGCCUCUAACCAACCCUAAAGAAGCUGUGUGCGGACGCUGGCAGCCUUGGGCACUGAUAAAGGUAGAGUGUCCGUGCGCACUCUCAUCCACUUGAACUCACGGCAGGCCCAGCGGGCCAGGCCUCCGGGUCACCACACAUGUAUAAAAAGGGAAACUGAGGCUCCAGGGCUCCUGAUGAUGCUAACAGACACAGCCAGGUAAUCCCCUCUCCCGCUCCUUCCACAUUCAGGGCAAUCUCGUUAAGAUGCUUUUCCUUCCCAGAGCGUUUACCUGGGCACCACGUGUUCAUCGUGCAAGUUACGGACAACGCAGGAUCAGGCUGAGGCUGCGACGGGCCUGAAACGGGCCCCUCGCCGGCCUCCUCCCCGACCUGUCCUGUCCCGCUCCCCCACUCCCAGGCCAGCCCUGCCAGGAGCACCUCGGUGUCGCCAGCCCAUGAAGGCUGACAGUUGCCUGUCACCUUGGGGACGUGCUUUUGGGGACUCUGACCUAACACACGUGUGUUUGAGGAUUUUCCGCCGGCGUCUAGUAUAGUGAGCACAUAACUGAGUUAGAAAUGUAUCCACUGAACGAGUUCACUGAUUCAUUAAUUUACUAGACAUCUACUGAGCGCACUCUGUGGGUGGUACCCCAGCAGCGAUGGACGCACCGCGUCCGUGCACGUGCAUCUGUGUGUUUCUGUGCCUGUCCAUGGUUGUCUGUGUGCGGCUUGGUGUAUAAGUCCAUGUGUUCCCCUGUGUAUGUGCUCGAUAUGUUUCUACGUGAGGAGCAGGCGACGGGCCACACAGGUGGUCGGUGGCAGGACUGGGCCCUAAGCGCAGGUGGGCCUGACCCGCUUUCCCCAUCACCAGGCAGCUAAUACAGGUGAGCUGUGGCCUGGGUGCACCGUGGCACCAGGUGGUCCCCCAGGACAAGCCCUGCUCACAGCAGCCUCGACCCUGAAAGCCGUGUGGGCAUCCAAGGGCCCGGGGCCAGCCGGUGGGUUUUACUAAAGUACCCCCCGCCGAACAACACAACUUUGCGUGGAGCGCAGCUGCCAGGACCAGCCCCAGGUGGGAGAGCCUGGGCGAGGUGGGGCAUCCGGGCGAGCAAAGAGAGGGGCUGUUUCCAACCCUGCUUGCUGUUCACUAACACACUGGCCUUGGGCACCUGCAAGAAUCUUCUAGAGCCUCAAUCUCCUCACUUAAGAGAUGGAGACAGAGCACUUCCAACAUUUAGACAGCAUCCCAGACACCGGUGAGUUACCGUAUUUCUUCAAUACGGGAUGGGAUGCCCCCAUUGCAAGGCGCCGUGUCAACCUGCGCCACCGAGAAAGAAAACACGAACCCAUCGCAUAGGACACGGCGCUUGCUUCUCAUUUCGGGUUUUAUUUGAUUCUUACUGAAAGAGCUCCUUUUGACUUGUUUAGAUAUAGAUUUUUACUGUAUAACACUCUUGGGCAGACACAAAAAGGAAGAUACAAAUGAAAAGAACAGGUUACAGGAUGUCACAGACGUAGUCCCUUUCAGAGUCCGGCUCUCGGAAUCACUGCUGGGCUCAGAGGGCGAAUUCCCGUUCUCUCCAUGGCUAAAGCCGGAGGGUCAUCAACUGCUUCCCAAUUACCGUAUUUUAUCAAAUACAAGAGGCCGUUGCUGGAAAGCUGCAUCCUGACCUCAGAGAUGUUAAAAUGGGGAGGAGAGGGGGACAGACGUGUUUCUUAGACUUGACAAAAAAAAAAAGAGAGAGAAAGUAGCCUUGACGGCGACUCUUGCAUGAUCUGUCUCCCCCUUCAAACUCUCUGCACUACCACCCAAUUUUCUUCUCAGCUCUCUGCGCCCGGGCUACGAGUUCCGAUGCUGGCACUUUGGAUGUUUGACAGCACAGGCUGUGACAACGACGCCGGGACUGCCAGCCAUGGGACCGUGACGUGAAAUUUGCAAACCAGUUCAGAGAUGUUAAGAAUGUGAAAACGCAAAUGUGCAUCUCAGGAUGGAGGAAACAUGGCAGGUGACUCCUGAGGGGGAAGGAAGGCUGAGAGUUGAAAAUAAAAAGCGCGCUCCUCCAGCUCAGAGCUGGGGUUGAGCAAGGCUUCUUGCUCCCAGGCUGCUGGCCGAGAACCUGGGCUAGCCCAGGCUAGCCUGGGCCAAGCGAGAAUGGACCGUGGAGAUAGCUGAUCCAAAGGGUCGCUUUGAAAGAAAUAGAAACCACCGUGAAAUUGGUGGUCCAGGGUUUGCUCGCUCUCUGAUGAAAGGGGAUCACCUCCACGUGAAAUCUCUUUGUCCAGAAGUGAAGGAAGCGAGGGGAAGUGAGCCCCAGCCGGUCCCAGCAGUGGUCACAUGUCUCUCAUUGCUUGGGGACAAGAUGUAUGGUGCUGACACGGAACCAGCAGGAUAGUUUCAAGCGUUUACCAGUUACUGCCUGGUGGGGGGUCCUCAUCAGCCAUCCAGUAUGGGGGGCGGGGGCUGAGCCCUGGACAACCAGCCAGUCCCAUGCCACCCCCGUCACCAUUCCGGAGCCACCCUCUUCUUCCAGAGCCCCCGGAUGGAAACCGCUCAGGCCUGAAGAGCCUCCUGGGGUCCUGGCUUCUGUUUUCUGGAAGGCAGGCUGCUGUCUGGAAUUCUGGCCCCCAUCUCCUCCGUCAGAGGCACACAGGGCUGGGGACAAUCCAGAACACCUGAAGGGACUGCCAUGCUCUGCACAGGCCCGUACACCAUGGCCAGGGCCACUGCGAGCUCACAGCUGGGUUUCAGCCCCUAUCACCCCGCCAGGCAUCUUUGCUCAGUGCACUAACUACACGGCUGUAGGAGUAGAGAAGUAGCCCUGGUCAUCAGAUGGUUUCUCUCCUCCUUCCCGGACCAGGACACCGCAGGCGCUGGGCCUCCCAGUCCAGGGAAGGUGUUUGGGGGUCGAAGUGGGGGAGGGGGCUGUGAGCUUCCUGGCUCAGCUUCUCAAAGUCUCAACCCCAUGAGGAAGGCAGAGCUGGAGCCCAGUGAUGGGCCAGCAGGAGAGGAAUGGGGCUUCCUCCCAUAAGAAAAGGAGCCAAAGGCCACCUCAGGGCCAUCGAGCUGCACAACCCUGGAGGUGCCAUUCCCAUCACCUUCACUGCACUCCUCAGCUAGGGCUGUUUCUCUCUAGCCAAAGAAAUGACACUCUAACUGUGAAAUUUCAGGCCAAGAAGGAAAGUAUUUUUUGUGUGUACAAAGUGGGGGGGCAGACCCUUCUCUGAGCCCUUUAAUUAAUUAAUUAGUAUUUAUUAAUUUAUUGUUUUAUUAAAUUACUAAGUAAUACCAACCCAUUUUAUUAAUCUAUUAAGUUAGUAUGAAGCAUUGUAUUUUAAUAUAAAUCUGUUGUCAAUUUACUAAUUAUUAUUUGAUUAAUAGCCACCUUUCUGCCAUCAAGCAGUCCUAGAUCUGGCCCCUUGGCCAGCUGGAGCUCCAGGAUGGUUGCAUGUCUCCUGCGUCUGGGCUGAAGGCAGUGUAUCGGUCAGGACGGGAUGCACUGGGCUUGGUAACAAAAAAAACCCCAGUCCGGUGGCUGAAGACAAUGAUUUGCUCCUUGCUCCUUCCCCACGUCCCCUGCAGGUGAGCAGGGAGGUCUGCUCAUCACAGAUGCUCAGGGACCCCAGUGAGAGGAGCAGCAAGCUGCCUUCUCGACUGGCUCCCGGCCCCAUCCCGGAGUGCCUCAUGGUGGCCUCAGUGAAGCACUCAGCCUGGCAGUGGCGCAUCUCUGCGGCUCACAGCUCUCGGGCUGGCUAUCUGGAGGAGGACUGCCAUGCAUGUGCCCCCGACAAGGGGGGUGAGAGUGCACCCCAUCCGCUGCCCACACACGGGCGCUCACGUCCACCGCAGACGCCUUCUGGUGGCGGCCAUGCCUGCAGGCAUCAGGCGGCGGGGGAGCCAGCAGUGAAGGAGGCAGACUCAGGCACGACGGUCCAGCCGGGCAGACAGACAGUGGACCAGUGUGGCAGAAUGAAUGACCUUAUCAUGUCCAUGGCGAAGGCCGCAAAGGAGGAAGGCAGGGUGCCGGGGCAUCGACAGGGCACUUGAACCUCACAGGGGUGUUUGGGAGGCUCCCUCAGGCCUGGGCUGACGUUUGGGAUGAAACCUACAGGGUGGCUGGGCGUUCUCUGAGAGGCGGGCAGGGUGGGUGCAAAUCCCUGUGGCCUUGGGGAGCGUCGUCUCUUCCAGGAACGGUGAAAAAGCCAUCGUUGCUGGAGCAGAGAGCACGGAGUGGGACAUGCAGCUGCAAAGUCAGUGGCCGGAUCCUUCACGGUCGCGUGAGCCGGGCUUAUGACCCUGGCCUGUGUCCUCAGGGCCCUAGGGAGCCAUGGAGGGUCUGCAGGCGGGAGUGGGGAUGCCGGGUUGAACGGCGCCCUCUGGUGGCCGUGCGGGGCGUGGCCUCUUCAAUGCGCCCAUCCCGGCCUCUGUUCUAAGGCUUCCUCGGGGUGCCCCGAGCUGCCGGCCUUCUGAGACUCCCCACCACGUUAAUGCUGGUGGACACAGCUCGCAGGGCCAGCCUCCCAGAUGGCAUGCCACCAAGCCACGCUCUCCAGGAGACGCCAGACGGACAGGCCAGCGCUGCGUGGAGCAGACCCAGACAGCACAGACAGCCAGCCAGCUGGGGAGCAGAGAUGGAAUGAUGGCAGCCCAAAUGCUCCGCAUUUCUGAAGGCAGAUAAACCCCAACCAGCCAGAAGGAGGGCGCCUGGCGGCUGCCGCCCAGACUCACAUGUCUGUGGCCUGUUUCUGCUCAAAACUGCAAUUGCUUAUCACAGGUCGCAGGCGAGCUAUUAGUCACGGCUCCUCAAAGCACAGCCUCCAGCCGGAGACUUCUAUCGGCGGUUUUUCUUCUUUAUUUUCUUCUUCAUUGCAGACGGGAUGAAUUGAGCCAACUGAACUUUCUGGAAAGAGAGAUGUUUUUCCUCCUUCAUUUUCAGAAAGUAAUACGCGUGCCCAGGAUGACAGUGCCAAGGGGUGGUCACGGACUCGAGUCUUCCUCUCACCCCCGAACCCCCAUUUUCCUUCCCAAUUGCCAGUAUCUUCCAUCCUUCCAGGGAGACCAGGCACGGUGGCAGCAACCACAAAUCCACCGAUUUCUACAAAAGUGUGGCUCCCGUGAAUAUGCUCUGUUCCUCACCGACUGCUGGCUUUACUCUGUAGGAGAGGGAUACUGUGAAAUAGCUCGGUCGUUUUGGGGUUCCCACAUCAGCGUCCCUUCUGCUGUCACAACCAGGCCACGAAAUGUGGCUUAUUGCUCAGCGGGGAGGAGAACAGGUACAAAGGGUAAACACUCGGCUUAGAGCAUCGAAAUAACUUUCUUGAGGUUUUUUUUAAGUCCCGGGUGAGACAGUGGUCUUGCAAGCUGGGCUUUCAAGUGUGAGUAAAGGUUCCCGUAAUUCCCAGAGCUGGAUGUUCUCUCUCGAAGAGCCACCCAUGGAGGACUGACCUCGGCGUGAAUCCAAGGGGAGGAUGCAAGACGCAGCCGAGGGAGGAGAAAAGCACGGGAGAGGAAGAGCCAGGGAGGGGGCGACGGAGAGAGAUGAAAGCCUGGCUGCAGCCCUCCGGGUAGAGAGGUGGAGACCCCAGGCAGCCCUUCCCCACUGCCUUAAGGGGCCGAGAACCUCCCCGUGGGUCCACGUGGCAAUCGGGGUCCAGGCCAGGAAACAGGCGCCCCUCUGAGCAUUUCAACGGAAGGAAUUGAAGGCAGGGAGUUGGUUCUGCAGUCCAGAGAGUGGCUGGGAAGCUUAACAGAGCUGGGGGUGACCUUGAGCUCAGCAACUGCAGGAAGCUGCCCCCAGUUCUGCAAGUGAGCGGACAGGAGGAGGACGUGCAGGACCCAGGGUCAGGGAGGAUUCCAGAACACGGAGGCCUGGCUGGAGGAAGCUGGGACCAUGGAGGAGACAAGAGGCCACCAGAGAGGUAGCCCGAAGGGGAGGAGGGAGCACCUGGCUUCUCCUCCAGUGCCUCCCAUUGGCUUCACUUGGCCGAUCCAGGCACCUGGGAAACGCAGCUGUUGGGGAUCCUGUGAUAAAGAGAAAGGGAAGGGCUGGGGGGGAUCUGAAGGCAAAGAGGCCCAGGACCCAUAGCUCAGCCCCCUUCCAACAUGGUCCUGAAUGGUGGAAUACAAACGGCGGAGGGCAGGGCCCGGGGAAGGGGCCUAAGAGAACACCCUGCUUCCUGUGGAUUGUGUGUGGCCCGUGGCUUCUGAGAAGUUCCGUGUGCCCCCAUGGGGGAUGUGGGGUCUGGCUGAGGGGCGAGGUCGGUGAGCUCAUGGGAGGAGGGGGUCACCACUCUAAGGAGCAAAGUGACCCUGAUGGAGAACGGCAGGACAGCCACGCUGGAGAGCCAUCAACAUAAUAUCUGGACUCGAAAAGGUCCACAACCCAACGAAUGUGAUGCAUGUGACAGAACACCAACGUGGCCCCAAGGGCGACAGAGCCUGAGGAGAGUGUUGAUCGAAUGGUUUUGUGAAAUGUGAGAGUAGAAAACAGCCAUAUUUCUAAGGAAAUAUCUAAUAUGAUUUUAAAUAUGUAUGUGUAAAUUUAUAAUUAAAUAUAAUUUUUUAAGAAACAG
ensembl:lncRNA